AACUUUCAACAACGGAUCUCUUGGUUCUCGCAUCGAUGAAGAACGCAGCGAAAUGCGAUAAGUAAUAUGAAUUGCAGAUUUUCGUGAAUCAUCGAAUCUUUGAACGCACAUUGCGCCCUUUGGUAUUCCAAAGGGCAUGCCUGUUUGAGCGUCAUU
rnacentral:rRNA from 7 species